rnacentral:rRNA from 1 species
UACGUAGGGUGCGAGCGUUGUCCGGAAUUAUUGGGCCUAAAGCAUCCGUAGCCGGUCUUGCAAGUCUUCCGUUAAAUCCACCUGCUUAACAGAUGGGCUGCGGAGGAUACUAUGGAGCUAGGAGGCGGGAGAGGCAAGCGGUACUUAGUGGGUAGGGGUAAAAUCCGUUGAUCCAUUGAAGACCACCAGUGGCGAAGGCGGCUUGCCAGAACGCACUCGACGGUGAGGGAUGAAAGCUGGGGGAGCAAACCGG